rnacentral:rRNA from 1 species
AAACUUAAAUGAAUUGACGGGGGCCCGCACAAGCAGCGGAGCGUGUGGUUUAAUUCGAGGCUACACGAAGAACCUUACCUGGGUUUGACAUCACGGUGGUAGGGAACCGAAAGGGGACCGACCGCAAGGAGCCGUGACAGGUGCUGCAUGGCUGUCGUCAGCUCGUGUCGUGAGAUGUUCGGUUAAGUCCGAAAACGAGCGCAACCCUCGGGGGAAGUUACACGUGUCUGACCCGACUGCCUGCGAGAAGCAGGAGGAAGGUGGGGAUGACGUCAAGUCAGCAUGGCCUUUAUAUCCAGGGCUACACACACGCUACAAUGGGCAGUACAGUGGGAAGCGAAGCCGCGAGGCGGAGCGGAUCCAAAAAGCUGUUCUAAGUUCGGAUUGCAGGCUGCAACUCGCCUGCAUGAAGCUGGAGUUGCUAGUAACCGCAGGUCAGCGAUACUGCGGUGAAUACGUUCCCGGGCCUUGUACACACCGCCCGUCACGUCAUGGGAGCUGGUCACGCCUGAAGCCGAUGAGCGAACCGCAAGGGAGCAGUCGUCGAAGGCAGGGCUGGUGACUGGGACGAAGUCGUAACAAGGUAGCUGUAGCGGAAGCUGCGGCUGGAUCACCUCCUUUCUG